CCGGGCUUGCCGCUCGGUGGAGGGAAAGGCUGCCGGUGUGGGCAGGGGCUGGGAGCCGUGAGGGGCGUCUGGGGAGCCGCCUGGAGAGCGCGCUCCUCGGGGAGGCAGGAGGUGGUGGUGCGUCUAAUUAACGCCCCUGUGGUCCUGGGUUGCACUGAGUGAAACUCCGCUGUUGUGGAUCACUUUACCACAGGAGGAAGCACACUGUGUUUAUGCAGUUACAGCACUGUUUUGGCUACCCUCCUGUAGAGAUGGGGAAACUGAGAUGGAAGAAAAGUGAUUGCUUAACCUCAGCUAACAGGCUAACAGAAGAACAAGAAACUCCGGAUCACAGGUGAAUGAAGACAAUGAGUCCAGCUGCUCCAAACAGCAAGAUGAAGGAGAACAUACAUGUCAGCCUCAUAAUUAUUGUUCUCAGAUCAAUCCAGUUUUGACCCAGGAAAAGAACUGCACGCAAUCGCCAGGGCGCUCUUCACUCAUAGUUUCAUCCUCUCAUCUGGGAAGUCUGGCAUAAUAUUGCCUACAAAAGGGUUCCUGGCUACUCUGAAUAAAAACACCUUCUCCCAGAAGAUCUGGAGCAACUGGAGUGAGCUGUACUUCCAGAGGUUCACUGAGCUGUACAAAUGUUGCCUUGUUGUCAUUACUGCAGCCAAUACGUUUUUCCUGCUCGGUAAGAGAGCAAGCCUUUUCACUCUGAGCAUGCUGUUCUCACAGAUGGAAGUGAUUUGCUGUCAUCCCUCAUUUGGAAGAUCCUCCUUGCUGUGGAUGUCCUAACCCACCAUCCCCACGCAGCGAGUCCAGGUCUGUGUGCGCUGCGUUGUCAUGGGCACCCCUGCUUACCCAUGAACUCUGCUCCAGCAGAGCCUAAACAAUCACACACACAGACCGAGAAGAAUUCUCUUUUCAUCACAAGAGCCGAAUUUGUGCUCACGCUGUGUCGCUGCAGAAGCUUGUUUGCUCAAACACAGCAAUAUGGAGUCAAAUGUCAAAAGAGCUGCAGCUUUCAAGUCAGGGGUGAAAGGAUGCGUUUUUGCAGAGGAGUCUAUUGCAGUAGCCUUGGUCAAUGAAGGAAAUUAAGGACCCCCCGGCAAUUUCAGGAUUUGGUCCUGCCUCUUGACUUCUCCAGCAUUCAUGAUAGUGGCCAAAAAAUAGCUGAGUGACUGUCUACCAGCUGGCUGCCAGCUACUCUCCUUCUCCUUGGAGAAGUAGAAGUAGCAGAUUGGAAGUAAAUCAAUACAAAAUAGAGGAGGAUUCAAGCUUCCUGCCCCCAGCUCCACCUACUCUAUAGAUGUUUCCCAGCCUGUGGCCUAUAGAUUCCCAAUUUUUGGUGGAAAACACAGGCUGAUCUUGAAAUGUGAUAAUUCAGAGGGAGGAAGGAGAGACUACCAGAUGGCUCUGCUUUGCACCUACUUCAGUUUGCAGGAUAACACUUCUUUAUUUGCCAUAAAUUUAUCAUUCUCCCCCAUCUUUGUAGCAUGGAAUGAAGUUAAACUUUUGGCCUCUUGGCCCCAUCUUUCCACAGAACUAACAAAAUGAUGCAGUAACAUUGAAGGGAGAAUGAACAGAGUUUGUCUUUUCUGUAUGCAUAUGUGCAAAAGAGGAGAGAAAAUAGGGGUGGGGGUGUUGUGGAAGAAAGGAAAGAAGCUCAUAAAGAAUAUAAGUAGCAGAUCUGGAAACACCCCCUCACUACCCACAGCAAGCAUCUCAUUCCUCUGAGAGUCUGCCUGGAGGUGUCUUAAAUCCAUGGGAAACAAGAAGGAACUAUUUCUUCUUAUGAUCAUCAUCCAAGGUGGAAUUAUAGCCAGAAUUCACGAACUUUUUGAGGUAUAUUGUUUACUAAAAUACAAAUUUAAAUGACACUUUCUUUCCUAAUUUUCUUUGCUCUCUUCCUCCUAUUGCAGUGUAAAACCAUGAAGCAAUUCCACUGGGGCAUGGUGGGCCACUAAUCUUCACGCAGAGAGACAGCAGGAUGUGCUGUGCUUUCAGAUCUGUGCUUCAUCGUCCUCCUCUGUCCUCCUUAUGGCAUCUCUUCAGAGAUUCCAUGGAGAAAAUUGUAACCAUGUUGUUAUUCGCUUUCCACAUAGCUAUUAGGCAUGGGAUAAUGUCGUAUUAUAUGAUUAUUUUGUUGUUGUUGUUAUACCAUACUCAUCUCAAGGACUAAACAGUAAUAAGACUUUAAGUACCCAUUUCAUGCCCUAGUACAAGCUUCCUCGUUUAUGGAAAUGUUAAUUUUCCUGUAUGAUAAUUUGCACAAAUACAGUAUGUGUAGCAGAAUGGGAGUUAGAAAUUUGUAGUUAGGAGCUCUAAUUUUGCCAAGUUCAAGAAAGAAUUCAGCACAGAAAAUAUGUCAAUUGUAGGCUUUUAGACCAUGUGUCACUUUUGCAUAGAAGCUCAGUUUAUGCAUGCAAUUUACAUAUUCUGAUAAAAUUCUCAACCAGGCUUUUAAAAUUAUAGUCCUAAAAUUUGAAGUGCUGCUUCAGCAUUUCCAAGUUCAAAUCUAGGUUUGUGCCUGCACUAACUUAUUUAGCAGGAUGGUGAGGAUCUAUGACCACCAUACAGAGAAACCAGCUUUCUAAAACAGCUUUGGUCCCCAGCAUUGUGUGUGAGUUCUGAGCAGAAGUCUUUUGUGUCACUGGCAGAAAGAGGAGUUCGGCUCCAGGGAAAUCUGCAGUCCAGUCGUCAGCUCAGACGCCAUCCUGCUGCAUCCCAGAGAGGAUUAGUGGUCCUACAGCCCCCUGGAAUUGCCUCAGUUGUACCUCAAAGCAGUCAUCCCUAAACCCUGCAGGUCCUUUUUUAUGAAUUGUAUGAACAAUUAACUAUGCUUAAUAUUUUGGAUGUG